UACGUAGGGGGCUAGCGUUGUCCGGAAUCAUUGGGCGUAAAGCGCGUGUAGGCGGUCCGGUAAGUCCGCUGUGAAAGUCGAGGGCUCAACCCUCGAAUGCCGGUGGAUACUGUCGGGCUUGAGUACGGGAGAGGCGAGUGGAAUUCCGAGUGUAGAGGUGAAAUUCGUAGAUAUUCGGAGGAACACCAGUGGCGAAGGCGGCUCACUGGCUCGGUACUGACGCUGAGGUGCGAAAGCGUGGGGAGCAAACAGG
rnacentral:rRNA from 1 species